rnacentral:tRNA from 1 species
UGCCAGAUAGCACAACGGUAGUGCAAGCGGCUGUUAACCGCUAGGUUACAGGUUCGAAUCCUGUUCUGGCAG